UACAGAGGUGGCAAGCGUUGUUCGGAAUUACUGGGCGUAAAGGGCGCGUAGGCGGCCGUUCAAGUCGGGGGUGAAAGCCUGUGGCUCAACCACAGAAUUGCCUUCGAUACUGGACGGCUCGAGACCGGAAGAGGUCAGUGGAACUGCGAGUGUAGAGGUGAAAUUCGUAGAUAUUCGCAAGAACACCAGUGGCGAAGGCGGCUGACUGGUCCGGUUCUGACGCUAAGGCGCGAAAGCGUGGGGAGCAAACAGG
rnacentral:rRNA from 1 species